GUGGCCACUGGUGGCAGUCACGCUUUCCACGAGAGGUGCGGGCAGUGAGGAAGAGUUCCUGCGAUGUGGAGCUCCGGUUCCAGCAGCGGCAGCCCGUCAGGUUCAGGCAUUUGGGUCCAUUUCUUGAAUUCGGGGUUCAAGACCUACUUCUAAGAGACAGUUGACCCUCAAGACAAAAGAAGGAAGGUGAGAUCAAACAACCAAAACAGACAGGACAACUUCAGAAAAAGUCAUGACUGCAGGAGUUGGUGAGGGGAGGAGGUCUGUCAAGUCACUCCUGUCUGCAAGGUUUCUCUGGCUCACACUGUACUUCCCAGUCUGGCUUCAGCUUCACUUUCCAGCCUCAUCUUCAGGGUUUCAUGGUGUUCAGGCUCAUCUCAAACUCCUAUGCUCAAGUGAUCCUCCAACCUCAGACUCCCAAUUAGCUGAGUCUACAGCAUAUGCCACCAUGCCCAGCAACAAAUACAUCUCAAUUAGUACACAGAAAGCAUUACCUACAAGGAAAAAAGUUCAUGAAAUUGGACUGUACUGAUACUUUAAAAUUCUGUUCAUAAAAAACACCAUUAAGUAGGAGUGAAAUGCACACCACGAGAGUAUUGCAUUACAUCAAAUGGGCUGUUUGUAUUCAGACUAUCCCUAUAGAUCAAGCAAAAGACAAUCAAUUUAACAGAAAAUGUUCAAGAGACAUGAAAAGCUAUUUCAUAGAAGAGAAUUAUGAAUGGCCAAUAAACAUGAAAAAAUGUUCAACCGCAUUAGUUAUCACAGAAAAGCAAAUUAAUACUACACAGCAAAUAACCACAACUAACAAAAUCCAAUGGCUAGAAUUUAAGACAAACAAGCCACUGCUGAUGAGAAUAUAAACAGUCAUACUGACUUUGGGAAACUGUUUAAUAUCUGCUAAAGUUGAAUGCGCACCUCCAACUGUCUCCACCCAUAGGUGUACAUCCACCAGACCCCACAAAAACAUGAAACAGCCAACAACUGAGAACAGCCUGAAUAUCCAUCAACAGAGAAAUAAAAUGUCAUCUAUUCAAGCCAUGAUAGCAGUGGAAAUGAACAAGCUGUUUCCACCAACAGCAGCAAGGAUGAUGUGGAGGAAAAGUAGCCAGACGUCUACAUGUACUGCAGGGGUUCCCUCUAUAGAAGGUCCAGAAACAGGCAAAACUCAUCUCUGGAAUAGUUCUCUUUGAUGGACCAACUGGGUGAUGAAUGGGAAAAGACACAAGAGGUGCCUCUGGAUGCUGGUAAGUUCUACUUCUUGAUCUCGGGAAGGUUCCACAGUUGUAUCUGCUUUGUCAAAAUUCACUGAGCAUACCCAGCUUAUUAUGUUCUAUUCAUAUUAACUUGCGCUCCCGGUUUUAAAACACAAAGCAUGCUUCCAUCUCAGGACCCUCAUGGACUCCCUGCAUGGAAUACAAUUCAGAUUUGACAGAACUUGCUCUUUCUUGCCUUCAGGUCUCAGCACUCCUCAGAGAAGUCCUCCUUGCUUCCCAAGAGCUCUCCCAACUCCUGUGUGCCACCCCUCCCCCAUUUCUGUCACCCCUUCAGAGCACUUACCAUCAGAAGUCACCCUGCAUAUAAAUGUACAUUUUUGCUUACUGUGUUGUGUGUUCCUUCCACUAGAAAGGCAUGCACCCUAAGAGUAAGGACCCUGGCUGCCGCGUCCACUCGCCCUUCCCUGGGAGAGAGCGUUGCCUGACACAGGGUGUGCAUACAACCACCAUCUGCUGGAUGGAAGAAUGCCACCAACACACCAAACAAUGCCUGGAAUGUGUCAAGACACAAGCUUGGGAGAGGAAAAUGUGAGAAGAAACUAAAAGAGUAACUGUCAAGUUCAAAUACUUAGCAGAGUAGGCCAGAGACAAUUGCCCUGAGGAAAGAGAUCUAAUAAUGCCUGGGAAAGCCCAUAAGCGCCACAGGCACUUUUCUAUGCAAGUUCUGGAAGAAACAUUGCAAAAUAUAAAAGGCACAAUGCCUAAGACAAAAAGAUGUCUGCCUUCCGAAGGUUCUCACCUGAGCAUUGUAAUGACUUACUUUCAUACUGAAGUUAGACAAGAGAGUCAUUCCUGCACCUCAGUUUUCACAAAUACUUGGAAAACCACAGUAUGACUCACAACCUAGGAAAUUUCCAGAGUUGUACAGCUUAUGUACCCAUAAAGGAAAAAAACCUUCCUUCAACCCAGUGUGCCUGCUCCUUAUAACCCAAAUUUCUUCUGGUAUCACCUUGUGAUAUGGCAGAGAAGAGGCACAACAGGGAGGUCUGAAGGUGUGCCUAGGCACGAAGUGGCAGGUUGUGGUAUCUGACACCCUGAAAACCAGGUGACCUGGGCCAUGGCAUUCUCCACUGCACCUCCUUGCCUCAUGAGCUGCACGGUGCAGGGCCUGGUGCAAGUAAGUGUCCUACCGACUGAAUGAACCUUUUUCCAAUCCAUAAUUUUAAGACGGAGUAAAUGGCUCAAAGAAUUAGGCUGAGGAGUAUUUUUGGUUUUUGGUUUUUAAUCCUAAAGCCGUUUAUUCAACUUUGGUAAGAAAUUAAUAAAAUAAGCACCUGAAGAUUCAUUCUACAAAGCUCCACACUGUAGGAGAACAGAAUGCACAAGAGAGGAAACAGAGGAAACCACUGGUUGAGAAAUAUGACUGAAAAUAAAGUAUUAAUAACAGAAUUAUCUG